rnacentral:rRNA from 1 species
CCUACGGUGCGCAGCAGUGGGGAAUAUUGGACAAUGGGCGAAAGCCUGAUCCAGCCAUGCCGCGUGUGUGAAGAAGGCCUUCGGGUUGUAAAGCACUUUCAGUGGGGAAGAAAGCCUUGGGGCUAAUACCCUCGAGGAAGGACAUCACCCACAGAAGAAGCACCGGCUAACUCAGUGCCAGCAGCCGCGGUAAUACGGAGGGUGCGAGCGUUAAUCGGAAUUACUGGGCGUAAAGCGCGCGUAGGCGGUCUGAUAAGCCGGUUGUGAAAGCCCCGGGCUCAACCUGGGAACGGCAUCCGGAACUGUCAGGCUAGAGUGCAGGAGAGGAAGGUAGAAUUCCCGGUGUAGCGGUGAAAUGCGUAGAGAUCGGGAGGAAUACCAGUGGCGAAGGCGGCCUUCUGGACUGACACUGACGCUGAGGUGCGAAAGCGUGGGUAGCAAACAGGAUUAGAUACCCUGGUAGUC